UACAUAGGGGGCUAGCGUUAUCCGGAAUUACUGGGCGUAAAGGGUGCGUAGGUGGUUUCUUAAGUCAGAGGUGAAAGGCUACGGCUCAACCGUAGUAAGCCUUUGAAACUGGGGAACUUGAGUGCAGGAGAGGAGAGUGGAAUUCCUAGUGUAGCGGUGAAAUGCGUAGAUAUUAGGAGGAACACCAGUUGCGAAGGCGGCUCUCUGGACUGUAACUGACACUGAGGCACGAAAGCGUGGGGAGCAAACAGG
rnacentral:rRNA from 1 species